rnacentral:lncRNA from 1 species
CAGGGAGGCAAGCGACAUGUGAUCCUAUGAGCAGCCAUGUGAAAUAAUUACCAGGAGAACAAGGUGCAAGAUCUGCAAAAGUCAGGAGACAGACUUCAAUCAAACAAAGUAUGAAGGUGAAAAAGUGAGAAGAGGCCAAUGUGAAAUUCAGGAAUUAGAAUGUGGACAAGUUUAGGAUAAAACAUGUGGACUGAUGAGUAGCAGGAGCCAAAUGUUAAAGAGGAUGGAACCAAGAGAGAUGAAAUUUGCUGUUGCUGAUUGACAACAACUGUUCAAACAGCCUCCUACACCUGGCAUAUGUGAUCAGGCUCACUGGCUGCUCUUUCCUUAGCUCAUCAGGAACUUCAGGCCUGGUGCCCCCCAACAGAACUACUGAUGCCAGAUUACUGCUUACAGAAACCGGUCAUCCAGAUGAAGCUGAGUGGAGGUCAACAAUGAGAAUCUUGAGUGGAGAAUCCUUUGCAUGGUUUUCAGGAAUCAUCUUCACCACAGUGUUAGCCAGAGCUGUAACUUGCCUGGAAGCCACCGCUUGUCAAGGCAUGAGUCUGUGUUUUAAACGUGAACUGGCAUGCCUUAGAGAUCUCCAUGCCAAUCAUACAGGUUAUCCUAAGCUUUCCAGUGAAACUGCACUUAAAUGUUGGAUCUCUGGAUUAAGAACAGCCUUACUACUAUCAUUUUUCUACUAUAUGCCUUGUAUGGGAACUGCUGAGUCAUGGGCUGAACCACUUAUUGAGCACCUGGAGGAAGACUCAGUCAGCCCUGGGAGCACAGGUGAAGGCAAUUCACUAUGUGACCAGAAGGGCUGGAGUCUGGCUCCACCCCUCUUAGGCCUCAUUUAAGGGCUGACUACCACUGAGGAAGGAUCUCUUUUGGGAGAUCCCUUCUUGGUGGAAGCCUUUCCCUGCAAACCUGGAAUCUCCUGAUACAGGUGAGUGAUCUACUUUCCAUCCUUUGUAGCACCUUGUUAUCGUGCUGGUCCUUCCACCUCUUUUGUAACUCCUUUUCCAUCAUGUUGGACUUUCUAAUUGCUACACGCUUUAUAGUAAUUAGCUUGAAACAAAACUGGAACAACGGUUGUUUGAAGAGCCUACCCUAUUUCAUGUAAGGUGUAUCUUCGCCAGUUGCAAUCUCAUGGCCAGGAAAACCUUGAAAAUCCUUUUGUCUGCUUUUUACGCUAUUAGAUCGAUGUAUGACUCUCAGAGUAAUGUAGGUUGGGCAAUGUGAAAAUUCAGUAACUCUCAAAAUAGGACUGACAUUUUAAUCUUGACCUGGAAGAUCAUGUUAAAUCUUCUGUGAAUUUAAGAUCU